AAACACAAUGGCUGGCACCGUGGUGUGGAGAAAAAUAAAUGGCCCUGGCUCCUGUCUCAAGGGAAAAAAAAGCAUAACAAAAGGUUCACGGCCCAGCUCGAGCAAAAAAGAUGAGAACCUGGUUAAUCGCUGGUGUUGGUCCCCUCUUCACAGCAAAUUUGGUGUCCUUUCUCUUGCUGGAUCGGCUUUUCUGAGGUCUGGGGCCAGGAUCCAGGUCUCCUUCCCGCAGGUCCCUGGCCGACUCGUCUCCCAACGAUUUUUCUCUCUGAUCUCGGAUCUCGGACCAAAACCAAACUGUCAAAUUCAAGAAAGAAGCCGCUGAAGGAUUGCUCUUGCAAGUCUCCAAGGCCAGGGAAAGGCAAAAACCCCAAACUUCUUGCUUAAGCUAACAAAACCCAAUCUAGCUAAGCAAAAAAAAAAAAAAAAAAAAAAAAAAAAAAAAAAAAAAAAACCCAAAGAAACCCCCUUAAAAACCCAGUCUGCCCGGCAGGAAGGACACCUGGGAAGUGAGGCUUUUAAAAAGUCCACUCAGGAGCCCCAAGGCUUCCCCCUCCCCGGGACCUACCUUAAACCUGCAGCAACCAUUUCUGGGCAUAGAGCAGACAAUCAGGGAAUAGAAAAAACACCCUGAUAUAAAAUUUCAAUAGCCAAACUGAAUUUUAUUUCUAUAUCUUUUAUUUUAAAGAAAGCAAGCAAGCAGUGCUGGGUGGCUGAGGAGUCCCCACUCCACUCACGGCACACACCACUUGCAAGUUCACUAUCCCAAGGAACGCAUCCAUUUUCGACACAGCAGAUACAAGCAUUUGCUGAUUCAAUUGCCGAUUGACAUGAAUCACAAAAGCAUUUUUCACAACUCCAAGACAAUAAUGUACAGAAAGUGGACUGGCAGUCUAAUUGGAAACACCAUUGGACUGCCUUCUUGUGGAUAAGCAUUGUGAUAAAUAUAUUUCUGUGUUGUCUUUCGCAAUUGUUAGAAUGAAUACUAUGUGUUUUAUAAUGUUGACCUUUGUAAAAGAAGUUUUACUAAAGCUUAGAGUUCUUUUAAUCUGAUUGUUGUUUUGUGAUGCUAAUGUUGGUUGGCAGUUGUUGUAAUGUUAACAUUUAACCAGUGAAAGAAUCGAGGCCUGUUAAAUGUAUCUAAAAGUAGCAGAUGACCAGGACUAGGAUGAUUGCACAUGCUCUGAAGGGGAGGGAUGGAAGAGGAACUAUCUUAAAAUGUUUGAAUAUGUAUGACAGUUUAUGAAUAUGUAUUAAGCUGAUGCAAUAGCCAGGAUAUAUAAGGAGUGUUGCUUUGUUGACUGGUGUGCCUCUAGCUUUGGCUAAGCACCCAGUGGUGUUCCUUUUGUUUUUCUGACUGUCCCCUAUUGUCCUUUAUUAAAUUUUCUUUAAAUUUUAACUGAGGAGUGGGGUUUGUUUCUCACAAGCAUCCUACACUAAUAAAUCUUUUUAUCUGCUCUGA